AGUUUGAGCGGGACGCGGACCGGCUGCGGCGGAGCAGCCGCCGCCCAGCGGAUCUGUCAGCAAGACCCCCCGCCCGGGACCGGAGCCGGGGACGGCGCACUGCGGGGUCUCUGCAGGCGGCCGCUCCUUGACAGGAGGACUGGACGCGCGCCCCUCCCCCAUUUCCGAACCGGGCCGCCUUUUCUCGCCGUUUUCUCGACCCGGUGAUGGCCGUCAUCUCGUGACAAGAAACUUAAGGUCGACAGAAAAUUCAGGACCCGGAGUCAUGGGUCCCUCCGGUGGGUCGUGGCAACAGUCCCCCCCGCCACCGCCCGGCACCCAUCUAUCUAUAUUGUCUUUUGACGCUGAAGCGUGAGGUGCCCCAGGAAAGAGUUUCCCAAGCCCUGGCUGCCCUCCCCCGGCGCGCUGGGUCCCGGUGAGGUCUCUAGGUUUUGACCUGUAGCAGAGAACCAAUUCUGGAGAACAGCCUCACUUCUUUGAUUGAAUACUUACAUAAUGCAUUGGAACAUGACAUGAGAUUAAGGUUUAAUAAUGAUAGAAUGAAGACCACAAUAAAAGAGAC
rnacentral:lncRNA from 1 species